rnacentral:rRNA from 1 species
ACCCUAAAAAGUUCUAAAAGCAUAAAGGUUUGGUCCUAGCCUUAUUAUCAAUUGUCUCUUAACUUACACAUGCAAGUCUCAGCACCCCAGUGAGGAAGCCCUUCUCCCCUUCCCCAGGACGAGGAGCCGGUAUCAGGCGCAAUUUUUUGCCCACGACACCUAGUUCAACCACACCCCCAAGGGUAGUCAGCAGUGAUAAACAUUGUUUAUAAGCGACAGCUUGACCCAGUCAGAGAGAAGAAAGUUGGCCAACUCGGUGCCAGCCGCCGCGGUUAUACCUCAUGAACUUAAAUUGAUAGUAGUCGGCGUUAAGCGUGGUUAAAGGUUUUUAAUAAUUAGAGUUAAACAUCUGCCCCAGCUGUGAAAAGCACGCGUGAUUGAAAGCCACAAACGAAAGUUACUCUAAUAAAUUCUUGAACCCACGACAGUAGGAGAACAAACUGGG